GUUUACCCGCGCUAGGGAUUGCAAAGGAAAGCCCACAGCCCGACGUAGGAGGUGCGAGGACUUGUAUUGAAAAGCCCGACCGCCU
rnacentral:misc_RNA from 1 species